rnacentral:rRNA from 1 species
GAUGAACGCUGGCGGCGUGCCUAAUACAUGCAAGUCGAGCGAACGGACGAGAAGCUUGCUUCUCUGAUGUUAGCGGCGGACGGGUGAGUAACACGUGGAUAACCUACCUAUAAGACUGGGAUAACUUCGGGAAACCGGAGCUAAUACCGGAUAAUAUUUUGAACCGCAUGGUUCAAAAGUGAAAGACGGUCUUGCUGUCACUUAUAGAUGGAUCCGCGCUGCAUUAGCUAGUUGGUAAGGUAACGGCUUACCAAGGCAACGAUGCAUAGCCGACCUGAGAGGGUGAUCGGCCACACUGGAACUGAGACACGGUCCAGACUCCUACGGGAGGCAGCAGUAGGGAAUCUUCCGCAAUGGGCGAAAGCCUGACGGAGCAACGCCGCGUGAGUGAUGAAGGUCUUCGGAUCGUAAAACUCUGUCAUUAGGGAAGAACAUAUGUGUAAGUAACUGUGCACAUCUUGACGGUACCUAAUCAGAAAGCCACGGCUAACUACGUGCCAGCAGCCGCGGUAAUACGUAGGUGGCAAGCGUUAUCCGGAAUUAUUGGGCGUAAAGCGCGCGUAGGCGGUUUUUUAAGUCUGAUGUGAAAGCCCACGGCUCAACCGUGGAGGGUCAUUGGAAACUGGAAAACUUGAGUGCAGAAGAGGAAAGUGGAAUUCCAUGUGUAGCGGUGAAAUGCGCAGAGAUAUGGAGGAACACCAGUGGCGAAGGCGACUUUCUGGUCUGUAACUGACGCUGAUGUGCGAAAGCGUGGGGAUCAAACAGGAUUAGAUACCCUGGUAGUCCACGCCGUAAACGAUGAGUGCUAAGUGUUAGGGGGUUUCCGCCCCUUAGUGCUGCAGCUAACGCAUUAAGCACUCCGCCUGGGGAGUACGACCGCAAGGUUGAAACUCAAAGGAAUUGACGGGGACCCGCACAAGCGGUGGAGCAUGUGGUUUAAUUCGAAGCAACGCGAAGAACCUUACCAAAUCUUGACAUCCUUUGACAACUCUAGAGAUAGAGCUUUCCCCUUCGGGGGACAAAGUGACAGGUGGUGCAUGGUUGUCGUCAGCUCGUGUCGUGAGAUGUUGGGUUAAGUCCCGCAACGAGCGCAACCCUUAAGCUUAGUUGCCAUCAUUAAGUUGGGCACUCUAAGUUGACUGCCGGUGACAAACCGGAGGAAGGCGGGGAUGACGUCAAAUCAUCAUGCCCCUUAUGAUUUGGGCUACACACGUGCUACAAUGGACAAUACAAAGGGCAGCGAAACCGCGAGGUCAAGCAAAUCCCAUAAAGUUGUUCUCAGUUCGGAUUGUAGUCUGCAACUCGACUACAUGAAGCUGGAAUCGCUAGUAAUCGUAGAUCAGCAUGCUACGGUGAAUACGUUCCCGGGUCU